rnacentral:rRNA from 1 species
UCAACCAAAGGAGCAAUCCGCUAUGAGAUGGACCCGCGGCGCAUUAGCUAGUUGGUGGGGUAACGGCCUACCAAGGCGACGAUGCGUAGCCGACCUGAGAGGGUGAUCGGCCACAUUGGGACUGAGACACGGCCCAGACUCCUACGGGAGGCAGCAGUGGGGAAUAUUGCACAAUGGGGGAAACCCUGAUGCAGCAACGCCGCGUGAGUGAUGAAGGUUUUCGGAUCGUAAAGCUCUGUCUUUGGGGAAGAUAAUGACGGUACCCAAGGAGGAAGCCACGGCUAACUACGUGCCAGCAGCCGCGGUAAUACGUAGGUGGCGAGCGUUAUCCGGAUUUACUGGGCGUAAAGGGAGCGUAGGCGGAUGAUUAAGUGGGAUGUGAAAUACCCGGGCUCAACUUGGGUGCUGCAUUCCAAACUGGUUAUCUAGAGUGCA